GAUCCAAUCAAGAAGAUAAUGCCGCUGCUUUAUUAUUCCGCUCGUUUCUCAGGAGUCAGGACCUUGCCCCGGCCCCAAUCCCUUCUCCUUCGUGCAGCUGCGCGCCAGAUCGACUUCACCGUCGCUGCUCGUCCUGCCUAGCUGACGGUCCGGCCAGCAUCGCCUCCUGCUCGCGGCCUCGCUCAGCUCCCUCCACCCUCCGGUGAGACGCAGAUCUCCUGCUCGCGGCCUCGCCCAGCUCCCUCCACCCUCCGGUGAGACGCAGAUCUUGGUGCGACGGGGCACUACGGAGGCAGGGUAGUGCGGUUGUGCGUGUGUUGGUGGCCUGGUUCUAGCAACCGAGGUACAUGCUCCUAGCUGUUAGUCUGAAUAAGAUUCACUAGUUAGUAUUAAUCUCGUUGGAUAGCUAGUCUUUUAUUCUUGCUGUUUUUCUUAGUGGUUGGCGUAGAAUCACGGGCGUCAGAGCUGUGCCUGAGCGCGCCAUGACCGCUGUGUGUGGGUUUGACCCCGUUGCUCGUGAGCAUUGCGCAUGCCCACGUUGAUCCGGUUUUGGUGGAGAUCGUGGGACGCUGCGUUUGACGGGGGGGGGGGGGGGGGGGGGUCCGGGUGAAUCCAUACCUGAGGGUUUUCAGGAGCACGACGCGCCGUUCGCCGGCGUCGUUCGCCGCCGCUGCUUUCUGAGAAGUCGGUCGCCGGGAUCGGGGACCCAACACUAGCUCCCCAUGGGCCAACUUGAUUUUGCCUGUUUACACGCUCUGUUGUUAUUGGUAAUUUUAGAGCACUGUCAGCUAUUUUUCAUGUUUAGAGCUCUGUUGUUAAGGCAUCUACGAACAUACUUGUUAAUUUAUGUUUCUUUGCAUGCUUGUUUAGAUGGAUAGAAGUUGGGUGCAUGCUAGACUAUUUUCUCAUGAAUAUAUAAAUGGCGUCAAAGAAUUUAUGAGCUUCAUUCAUGGGAACUUUGGAGAGGAUGAAGAAAUCUUAUGUCCAUGUAGUAGAUGCCUUAAUCAAAAGUACCAACAUCAAGCUCUUGUGGAGAGGCAUAUAUUGAUGAAUGGCAUGGAAAGUACAUAUACUCGAUGGAUUCAUCAUGGAGAGAAUCUUGAUGUAUAUGGUUUGUUAAAUGAGUCAGGUAUGACUGAGGACAACAGCUAUGAUGAUGGUAAUUUGAUGAUGAUGGUAAUUUGAAUGGGUUGUUACAAGACUUAGACAGCACAGAGAAAGAUAAGCAAGACAAUGAAAAUGAGAAUGAUCCAGAACCUAAUGGCAAGGAUUCAUUUUUUAAAUCGUUGAUGAAAGAGGCUAAGCGUCAACUUUAUCCAGGUUGUACGAAAUUUUCGAAGUUGUCCUUUGUGGUAAAACUUCUUUAUAUGAAGUCAUUGUAUAGGAUAUGCAACUCCGCCUUUUCUGCAAUAUUAAAACUGUUAGGUGAUGCUUUCCUAGAAUGCAAUACACUCCCCAAAUCAUAUUAUGAAGCAAAGAGCAUUUUAAAGAAAUUAGGUCUUGGAUAUGAAUCAAUACAUGUGUGCUAUAAUAAUUGUGUGCUCUUCAGAAAAGAAUAUAGCAAGCUUGACAAUUGCCCUAUUUGUGGUCUCUCAAGAUGGGUUGAUGUUGAAGGAAAGAAGAUUCCACAGAAAGUGUUGCGCCAUUUUCCGUUGAUACCUAGGCUACAGAGGAUGUUUGUGAACAAAGAAACAGCAGAACAAGCACAGUGGCACAAGCUGAAGCGAAAUCCUAAGGAAAAUGAAAUGAGUCACCCAGCUAAUGGUGAGGCAUGGCAAGAUUUUGAUAGAAAAUAUCCAAAUUUUGCAAAAGAUGCCAGAAACCUUAGACUUGGCUUAGCAACUGAUGGGUUUAACCCCUUUUCGGAAAAAACACUAAAUACAGCAUGUGGCCUGUACUUGUUGUGCCAUACAACUUUCACCUUGGGCGUGCAUGGAGGAGUCAAAUUUCAUGAUGGCUUUACUUAUUCCUGGUCCUACAUCACCUGGAAAGGACUUCGAUAUUUUUUUAGAGCCUCUUAUAGAAGAUUUACUUGAGCUUUGGACAGGUGUACCUACUUACGAUGCUCUAACUGGACAAAAGUUUAACCUACGUGCUGCAGUUUUAUGGUGCAUCCACGAUUAUCCAGCUUUGGGCACUCUUUCAGGGCGUAAAACAAAAGGUUUUUUUGCAUGUAUUCAUUGUGAUAAGCAAUCUCUUUCAUACAGCCUAAGGAGCAAAAUUGGUUAUUUUGGGCAUUUUCGUUUUCUUCCGGUGGGACAUCGCUUGCGCAAAAAUAAUGAAUUUGUUGGUCUUCAUGAAAGCAAUGAUCCCCCAGGUAAAUUCUCUAUGGAAGAGUUGAUGGCUGAAUUGGAGAGAGUCAAACAUGUUAGGCCUAGGAAGCAACAAGGAAGUAGGAAAAGGAAACGUUCUAAUUUGGACAAGGAUCAUGUGGUAAUUUGGAGUUGGAUGGUUAGUUUAUGGAAGUUACCAUAUUGGAAGAAUUUGAAACUGAGACAUAAUCUUGAUAUCAUGCACAUUGAGAAAAACAUAUGUGAAAACUUGAUUGGGACUAUUCUCAAUAUACCCGGGAAGACAAAGGAUACAAUUAAAGCUAGGCUUGAUCUGAAAGAUAUGGGUAUUAGAAAGGAGUUGCAUUUUAGAGGGAAUGUAGAUUCAUGUGAGAUGCCUUAUGCAAGAUAUACCUUGCCCACAGAAUAUAAGAAGGCCUUUUGUGAUUUUUUGCGGGAGGUGAAGUUUCCAGAUGGAUUUGCAUCCAACAUAUCAAGAUGUUUAAAUGCUGAGGGAACCAAAUUACAAGGGCUUAAAACACAUGAUUGUCACAUUCUUUUGCAAAGAAUAUUACCAGUUGCCAUGAGAGGAUUUUUGGACAAGGAUAUUUAUGAAGCACUAGCGGAUCUGGGGAAAUUUUUUAGGGAAUUGUGCAGCAGAACUCUUAAAAAGGAUGUGUUGGCUGAAAUGAGGAAAGAAAUUCCAAUAAUUUUGGUGAAGCUCGAGAAAAUAUUUCCCCCAGCUUUCUUUGAUGUGAUGGUGCAUCUAGCUGUGCAUCUACCUGAUGAGGCAUUAUUGCGAGGUCCUGUGCAUUAUGGUUGGAUGUACCCAAUUGAAAGGCGAUUGUAUACUUUGAAGCGCUAUGUGAGGAACAGGGCACGACCGGAAGGCUCAAUCGCUGAGGCAUAUAUUGCGGACGAGUGCUUGACAUUUUGCUCUAAAUACAUGGAUGAUGUUGAAACAAAAUUUAAUCGGGAACCAAGAAAUAAAGGGUUUUCUAAUGAGGAAGCCUAUACUGUUGAUGUUUUUGGGCAUGGAGUUAAUUUUACCUCUGCGCCUGAACUAGUGUAUGAUGAUAGUGCCAUUGAUCAAAUGGUAUGGUAUGUUCUGAACAAUUGUAGUCAGGUUGACAAAUAUAUGAGAAUGUUCAGAGAUGAAUUAGAGAGAGAUGGCAUGCCUAACAUUGAAAGAACAUUGCGACAAGGAUUCCAGACUUGGUUCAGAACCCAUAUCCUCAGAAUGCGGAAUAUAAAUCAAGAAGAGGCUGAUGAUGAUCUAUUUUCCUUGGCUUGUGGUCCUGAUUUCAGAGUUCGAAAAUACUCCUCACGCAUAGUGAAUGGUGUGCGGUUUAACACUAGUGACCGUGACAAGCAUCGAAAGACACAAAAUAGUGGAGUAAUGACACAAGGUACUCAUAACGGUCAAGAAAUUGAUUUUUUUUGGAACCUUAAGAGAGAUCAUUCAGUUAGAGCAUAACCUUGAUGAGAGAUCAGUAGUUUUGUUUAAAUGUGACUGGUUUAAACUAGACGGGAGGACUGAGCUUAAAGAUGAUGGCUUUUUUAAAAGCAUCAACUUUGGAAGUCUAUGGUACAAGAAUGAUUCCUAUAUUCUAGCCACUCAAGCUAGGAAGGUCUUCUAUUUGGCGGACACAAAAUUGGGUAAAAAUUGGCAUGUUGUUCAGACAUUUGACCAUAGACAUCUUUAUAAUGUGAGUGAAAAUGAUGUUGCACAACAUAAUGCUCCUGCAUAUCAAGAAAAUGAGUGUUGUGAAGAGAAUGCUAGUCGACAAGCAGUUUCCGAUAAUAUAUAUGAGAAGCCUUUAAGUAGAGAUGAUGAACAAGGUCUUAUUUUUGAAGCUGCUGAAAUUGCUCAAUUGGUACAAGAAAAUGGCCAAAAAGUGUAUGGGAGUGAUAGUGAAGAAGAAGAUGAUGACGAUACAAUUUUGGAGUAUUGCAGCGAAGCCGAAGAAGGUGCUACAAAUGAUGUUGACAGUGAUGACGAAUAGCUGAUACUACUGAUAUUUAGUUGUGAAAUGACACUUGUAAUAUUUAUUUGGAUAGGCUGUAGUAUUUUCUGCCAUUUAAUUGUGAAUGUAACUUGAAAUAUUUAUUUGGAUGGACCAUGUUCAAUUCAGAUCAUGGUUUUAUGAAUAAUGGUCAUGUUGAGUUCAGAUCUUGUUAUUUUGCUGCUUCUAUCGUGCCCUCCUCUGAUGCUUCUAUCGUGCCCUCCUCUGUUGGUCUUGCUAUGGUAGAGCCCUCCGACCUUGCUUUGGUGCUGCCCUCCAUUGCUGCCUCGUCAAGGGAAAAUAAAAGGAAGAGAGGAAAAGAGGUUGCGCGUACAACUGAAGACAGUCCAACGAAGAAUACAACGACCAAGGUUAUGAAGAAGGCAAAAAUCAAGAAAAGGCUCGUUGCGGACUUGUAGCUGAGAUUUAGCUGAAUUUGGUACUGUCAUGUCAUCAAACUGUGCUGAGUUCAGACUGAAUGUCAUUAAACUGAAUAACUAAAUGUUUGAACCUGCUGCUUCAGACUAAAUGUCAUUAAACUGUGCUGAGUUCUGCAGACUGAA